CACUAAAAGAUCUUGGGACAUCUGACCAAAAAACCAGCAGAAGUAAAUACUUGUUAUCUUCAUUGGACUCAGUGGUUUGGAAUGUGGAAGAAAUUUCUGUUUAAAUUCCUUUGUAGUUUUUCAAAAAGACUUACAAGUUGAUUUCAAGUUUCUUCGCCCUUAGCAAGUGGACAGCAAUUUUAAAAGCCACUGAUCAAGAGAUGAAAUGUAAUCCUGAAGAGUAGAAGAGCAG
rnacentral:lncRNA from 1 species